AAUUGACGGGGACCCGCACAAGCGGUGGAUGAUGUGGUUUAAUUCGAUGCAACGCGAAAAACCUUUACCCACCUUUGACAUGUACGGAAUUCGCCAGAGAUGGCUUAGUGCUCGAAAGAGAACCGUAACACAGGUGCUGCAUGGCUGUCGUCAGCUCGUGUCGUGAGAUGUUGGGUUAAGUCCCGCAACGAGCGCAACCCUUGUCAUUAGUUGCUACAUUCAGUUGGGCACUCUAAUGAGACUGCCGGUGACAAACCGGAGGAAGGUGGGGAUGACGUCAAGUCCUCAUGGCCCUUAUAGGUGGGGCUACACACGUCAUACAAUGGCUGGUACAAAGGGUUGCCAACCCGCGAGGGGGAGCUAAUCCCAUAAAACCAGUCGUAGUCCGGAUCGCAGUCUGCAACUCGACUGCGUGAAGUCGGAAUCGCUAGUAAUCGUGGAUCAGAAUGUCACGGUGAAUACGUUCCCGGGUCUUGUACACACCGCCCGUCACACCAUGGGAGCGGGUUCUGCCAGAAGUAGUUAGCCUAACCGCAAGGAGGGCG
rnacentral:rRNA from 1 species